UUUUUGGUGGAAGAAGACUUCAAGUCUUCUGAAGGCCAAUGGUGCCGACUUUAAAAUCUUUGAAUUCUCCGUAUGCCGCAUUCGUUUCUGUGUAUUACAAUUUCAUAACAACUUCUGAUUCCCGACACCGAUUUUACACAUUUAAUCAUUUAAUUUGUAAAUUAGGAUUGAAAAACAAUCACUAUCGUAAAUAUGUACCCUUUUAUUUAUGUAAAUUAUUAGAUUUCAUCUCAUCUACAUGAACGUUAUUUGUUUACUUGUAACCGGAUGUUUUUACUGUGGAUAUUUGAAGUACGCAUGCGUGAAUUUGGUAGGAGGAACAUACCAGUAACAGUAACAGUAUCGGGACAAAUCGCCCUGUUUACAUGUUCACCCUUGAAGUUACGAAUUUGCAGAC
rnacentral:lncRNA from 1 species